rnacentral:rRNA from 1 species
UACGUAGGGAGCAAGCGUUAUCCGGAUUUAUUGGGUGUAAAGGGUGCGUAGGCGGCUUAUUAAGUCUGUGGUUUAAGCCCGAAGCUUAACUUCGGUUCGCCACAGAAACUGAUUUGCUUGAGUAUGGUAGAGGCAAGUGGAAUUUCUAGUGUAGCGGUUAAUGCGUAGAUAUCAGAAGGAACACCAGUGGCGAAGGCGACUUGCUGGGCCAUCACUGACGCUGAGGCACGAAAGCGUGGGGAGCAAAUAG